UUGGAGGGCAAGUCUGGUGCCAGCAGCCGCGGUAAUUCCAGCUCCAAUAGCGUAUAUUAAAGUUGUUGCAGUUAAAAAGCUCGUAGUUGAACCUCGGGAUCAAUGGAUCGGUCAUGCCAAUGGUAUGUACUGGUCAUAUUGGUUCUCACCUUCUAAGGAACCAUGAUGUCAUUCAUUUGAUGUUGUGGGGAAUUAGGACUGUUACCUUGAAAAAAUUGAGUGUUUAAAGCAGGCUCACGCUUGAAUACAUUAGCAUGGAAUAAUGAAAUAGGACAUCCGAUUCUAUUUUGUGGUUUCUAGGAUCGAUGUAAUGAUUAAUAGGGAUAGUUGGGGGCAUUAGUAUUCAAUUGUCAGAGGUGAAAUUCUUGGAUUUAUUGAAG
rnacentral:rRNA from 1 species